rnacentral:ncRNA from 1 species
CUAAACGCAAUGAAAGAGCAAGUAACUGCCUGUAUAAAUGAUUUAGGGAGGAGAUGCCUUGACUGGAAGCAUUUCUAUCAUGUCGGCAAUUACGUUUCACUCUGGAGCGGACACUUGGACCAUAUCAAAAUGUAAAGGUGAUUCGGACGCCAUCCGUUAUGAGGCAAGAGUUGGAUUGGAUAGGUUUAUCCAGUCAACAAGGGUGGUACCGCGACCAUAUAGCUUCGUCCCUUUU